UACGAAGGGGGCUAGCGAUGUUCGGAAUUACUGGGCGUAAAGCGCACGUAGGCGGAUGUGCCAGUCAGGGGUGAAAUCCCGAGGAUCAACCUCGGAACUGCCUCCGAUACAGCACGUCUCGAGUCAGGAAGAGGUGAGUGGAAUUCCUAGUGUAGAGGUGAAAUUCGUAGAUAUUAGGAAGAACACCAGUGGCGAAGGCGGCUCACUGGUCCGGUACUGACGCUGAGGUGCGAAAGCGUGGGGAGCAAACAGG
rnacentral:rRNA from 1 species